GAUAAACGCUGGCGGCGUGCCUAAUACAUGCAAGUCGAGCGAACAGACGAGGAGCUUGCUCCUCUGACGUUAGCGGCGGACGGGUGAGUAACACGUGGAUAACCUACCUAUAAGACUGGGAUAACUUCGGGAAACCGGAGCUAAUACCGGAUAAUAUAUUGAACCGCAUGGUUCAAUAGUGAAAGACGGUUUUGCUGUCACUUAUAGAUGGAUCCGCGCCGCAUUAGCUAGUUGGUAAGGUAACGGCUUACCAAGGCAACGAUGCGUAGCCGACCUGAGAGGGUGAUCGUCCACACUGGAACUGAGACACGGUCCAGACUCCUACGGGAGGCAGCAGUAGGGAAUCUUCCGCAAUGGGCGAAAGCCUGACGGAGCAACGCCGCGUGAGUGAUGAAGGUCUUCGGAUCGUAAAACUCUGUUAUUAGGGAAGAACAAAUGUGUAAGUAACUAUGCACGUCUUGACGGUACCUAAUCAGAAAGCCACGGCUAACUACGUG
rnacentral:rRNA from 1 species